rnacentral:rRNA from 1 species
AGUUUGAUUCUGGCUCAGGAUGAACGCUAGCUACAGGCUUAACACAUGCAAGUCGAGGGGCAGCAUGGUCUUAGCUUGCUAAGGCUGAUGGCGACCGGCGCACGGGUGAGUAACGCGUAUCCAACCUUCCCUUAGUAGGGCAUAGCCCGGCGAAAGUCGGAUUAAUACCCUAUGUUGUCAAUAGAGGACAUCUGAAGCUGACCAAAGGUUUACCGCUAAGGGAUGGGGAUGCGUCUGAUUAGGUUGCAGGCGGGGUAACGGCCCACCUGGCCGACGAUCAGGUAGGGUUCUGAGAGGAACGGUCCCCCACACUGGUACUGAGACACGGACCAGACUCCUACGGGAGGCAGCAGUGAGGAAUAUUGGUCAAGUGGGCGAGAGCCUGAACCAGCCAAGUAGCGUGCAGGAUGACCGGCCCUAGUGGGUUAGUAAACUGUCUUUUAUACGAGGGAAUAAAGUCGGGGACGCGUUCCCCGUUUGCAGGUACUGUAUGAAUAAGGACCGGCUAAUUCCGUGCCAGCAGCGGC